UAUUUCAAUACUUUUAAAUUUGCUGAGACUUGUUUUAUGGCCUAGCAUAAGUGUUAUUCAGGAUGAAGUUAUACAAGGGCUUGAGAAUCUUGCAUUCCUCAAGAUGACAUCCAUUGCAACAGGUCAGAAUUCUUUAUGAGUGCUGCAUUAUGGCCCACUUCACGCUUAAGAACAAACAUGAGGAUUUCAGAGCUGAAUCAACGUUAGACUCUUAAAAAACAAUUGUAUCAUGUACGGGACAAAGACAAGACCAUCACGGAUAAAGACAGGAGCAGAUUUAGUAUAUGUGCUGCCACCAUAACGGAUAAAGACAAGAACAGAUUUUAGUAUAUGUGCUGCCAUUUGAGACCAGCCUGGCCAACAUUGUGAAACCCCGUCUCUACU
rnacentral:lncRNA from 1 species